AUGAACGCUGGCGGCGUGCCUAAUACAUGCAAGUCGAACGAGGCUGCUUUUGUAGCAAUACGAGAGUAUCCUAGUGGCGAACGGGUGAGUAACGCGUUGGUGACUACCCCAAAGUGUGGGAUAACAGUCCCGAAAGGAUUGCCUAAUACCGCAUGUGGGUCAUUGGAUUUAGAAACUGAUGACUAAAGGAGCAAUUCGCUUUGGGAGGGACCUGCGUCCCAUCAGCUAGUUGUGAGGUGGUAACGGCUCACCAAGGCGACGACGGGUAGGGACCUGAGAGGGUGACCCCCCACAAUGGAACUGAAACACGGUCCAUACACCUACGGGUGGCAGCAGUAGGGAAUAUUGCUCAAUGGGCGAAAGCCUGAAGCAGCAACGCCGCGUGUGUGAUGAAGGCCUUCGGGUCGUAAAGCACUUUUCUGGGAGAUGAGAAAGGACAGUAUCCCAGGAAUAAGUCUCGGCUAACUACGUGCCAGCAGCCGCGGUAAAACGUAGGAGGGCAAGCGUUAUCCGGAUUUCACUGGGCGUAAAGCGCAUGCAGGCGGUGCGGUAAGGUUGGGUGUGAAAUCUCCCGGCUCAACUGGGAGAGGGUCAUUCAAUACUACCGUACUUGAGAGCAGAAGAGGAAGAUGGAAUUCCCGGUGUAGUGGUGAAAAUGCGUAGAUAUCGGGAGGAACACCAGUGGCGAAAGGCGAUCUUCUGGUCUGUUUCUGACGCUCAUAUGCGGCAGCUAGGGUAGUAAACGGGAUUAGAGACCCCGGUAAUCCUAGCCCGUAAACGAUGUGAACUUGGCGUUGGUGGGUUAAACUCCAUCAGUGCCGCAGCAAACGCGAUAAGUUCACCGCCUGGGGACUACGGCCGCAAGGUUAAAACUCAAAGGAAUUGACGGGGGCCCGCACAAGCAGCGGAGCGUGUGGUUUAAUUCGAUGCUACACGAAGAACCUUACCCAGGCUUGACAUACAGGUGGUUAGGGAUCCGAAAGGUGACCGACCCGCAAGGGAGCCUGAACAGGUGUUGCAUGGCUGUCGUCAGCUCGUGUCGUGAGAUGUUCGGUUAAGUCCGCUACGAGCGCAACCCUCGCUGCGUGUUACAAGUGUCACGCAGGACCGCCGGUACUAAGCCGGAGGAAGGUGGGGAUGACGUCAAGUCAGCAUGGCCUUUAUGCCUGGGGCUACACACACGCUACAAUGGGCAGUACAAUGGGUUGCUAAGGCCGCGAGGUGGAGCCAAUCCCCCAAAACUGUCCUCAGUUCAGAUUGCAGGCUGCAACUCGCCUGCAUGAAGCCGGAGGUUGCUAGUAAACGCGCGUCAGCUAUAGUGCGUUGAAUACGUUCUCGGGCCUUGUACACACCGCCCGUCACGUCAUGGGAGCUGGUAACACCUGAAGCCGGUAGCCUAACCGCAAGGAGGGCGCCGUCGAAGGUGGGGCUGGUGACUGGGACG
rnacentral:rRNA from 1 species